rnacentral:lncRNA from 1 species
AAAAUAUGGCAAUUACUCUAUUACUGAAAGUAAUUAAAGACAACUCCCCUUUCUUUAUCUUUACCAACAAAACAAAGAUAAGAAAGUACUUGUACCAUGCAGUCGGUACAUUAAUUUUCCAAAUAUAGAAGAAUUACAAUCAGAGAUCGACUGAAUAUAUAUCGCAGCAGCAAAUUAGAAUCAAGCUAUAAAUAGCCACACACUACACAAGCUUCAUUGCUUAAUAAUUAACUAAUUAAUUAAUUAAUUAUUAAGUGUAGCUCCAUAAACUUUCUUCGGCAGAAUUCCCUGCUGAAUCAUCAGACGACGGCGUAUCGAUCCUCGGUGGACUCACAAGCAUUCCCUCUGCCAUAUCCACUAGCAAAUUUGGCAUAUUCAAUAGCUCAUCUUCAUCAACGAACUCUUGCCCCAUGCAAGUGCUACUCGACGUAUCCUCACUCUCUUUACUCUCUUUCUGAACCGGACCCGGUUCAGACCCAGAACCCUUUGCAGCAGCAGCCUGUGCCGCAGCCGCGCGUAUGUCGCUUGCCGACGUCGAAGCCGGUAUUGGGUACGAAAUAAUCAUAUUAGGAAAGUUCAAUGGAGUUUCGGGGCCUUUCAAAGCCAGCGCCGCCACGUCAUAGGCCGCUGCCGCCAUUUCCGGCGUGGGAUAUGUGCCGAGCCAAAUGCGCGUCGUUUUACGUGGCUCCCGUAUUUCGGACACCCAUUUGCCGCUUCUGCUUCGGAUCCCUCGAUAGCUCGGGUGCCUCCCUUUUGAUGGUGAUGAUAAAGAAGGAGAAGAAGAAGAAGCUGCUGGUGCUGGCGCUGGUUCAAGUUCAGGAACCUGGAUGCUAGGUUUUGACAGUUUUGGUGGCUCUGUAACUGGAGGCUGCUGGUCUCUUUGAUGAGGAUCAGCCAUAUAUAUGACUAUCACAUGUACUGUGAUAGUUAUAACUGAAAAUCAUGUGUCUGAUUGAUUUGUAUAAAAAAAUUUGAUGAUCAUAAAAUACAAAUUCAAUUGAAAAAUAUUGUUAGGUUUUUAAGGAGAAGUAAAUGAUGGGGCAAAAGCGUGGGGAAUUCGCGGACCCCUACCCAGCUAAAGCGGCUGUGGUUUUCUUUCUGUUUUUGUCCUUUUUUUUAAGAAUUUACAGAAUUGGCCCAGAUUUAAGGUUAAUUUAUAAUUUAUAUAUAUUUAUUACAAGGAUUUCCUAUGAUGCUAUAUGAAUUUUUACAGUAUUGAUAAUAGAGUCAUUAUGGCAUUAUGGACCCUUGGAUUUAAAUUCUUUAAUUUUCACUACUGAUUUAAUUUAGUAGAUAAAUAACUAAUUACUUAACAAUUAACAGAUAAUAUUCAAGUUCAUGGAUAUAAUUUUGUUUUUAACAAUUCCAUAAAUAUUUUCUAAAUCACCAAAAAAAUUAAAAAUUAAGUAUGCAAAUAUAUAAAUUAAUUUAGAUGUGUAAAUAACAAAUAUUGAUUAUUCAAUCUCUAGCAACUCAUGUUAAUUCAAACUGGUUUUCUCAUUUGUAAUUGGGACAAUAUAAUUUUGAACUUUUAGUUUUAUUCAUUGACCUUUUUUUUUUGGGAAACUACUCAUUGGCAAAGAUUGAUUUGAAUUAAUUGUUGCAAUAUUUAUUAAUCUGGUAAAAUUUUGUUGAAAAUGAGAUAAUAAAACUAAGAUUGAGUUGUGUUAAUAAUAAAAUAUAUAUAUUUUGAAAGGAAAAAUAGAAGUAUUAAUAGUUAUACGCGUUUCUUGUUAUUAUUUAAUCUUUAAAAGCCAUGUUUAAUAGAUUUGUUAAUUAUUAAAUUUAAAUUUUUAAUAAUUGAAAUUAAAAUAUUAUCCCAACAAACUAUUAUUUUAAUGAACUGUUGAUUAAAUCUAAUGAUUAAUAUUUAGACCACUAUUGAUGUUGUAAUUUUUAUAAUGGCAUCAUAGAGUGACCUAUAUGUCAAUCAUAAAUCUAUUCAGACUCAUAAAAAAUAAAAUAAAAUGAAGAGUGAUGCUAUGCUUCCUGAAUUGGGAUACUUAAAUUUGAAUCCCUUCUUAUAUGUUACUUGUAAAAUUUUAUCAUUUCAAUGAGAAGUGAUAAUAAUUAGCUAUCACUUGAGCCAAUUAAAUAGUAUCUGAAAUUCUCAAUUAAGCAAGCAUAUUAUUAUUGUACAAUAAAAUACAAGCAAUAAACCAAACCAGUUAAUUUAGUUACCGAUUAACAGUUUGGCUUUCUUAAAAAAUGGAAUAAUAAAAGAGUAUGCAACCCUAAUGGUUGUCGACCGUGCAGUUAUUUUACCAUCUUCAUGUUUGGAAGUAUUAUUGUUCAAAAUGCACUGUUUAGAAAACAAAAGUAAGAAAAGUUUAAGCUAGAUAAUUUCUGUAAAUUGGUUAAAAGUUAGGGAUGUUUCUAUUAAUUUUCUUUUGAAUUUGAGUUGAUGCGACCGCAAACUGAGGUUACAGUGGGAACACGUAUUACUCGCCUGGGCGAGCGAAAAGUUCAACUGAUUAGCUGUAAGCCUGUAACCCGUCUGGUUUGGCCAUUGAUCCAUCGAUCGAUCGAUCGACUUUGUUGGCUUGAAUAUUUGAAGAUUUUAAAGCACGUUUGAUUUUGCUGAUUUAUUAUUGAUGAUGGUGAUCGUGAUAUGUAGGUCAUGCUUACUACUUAUGUUGAUUAUAGGUUUAUUUAUUUUUAUUGGUUAAGUUGAACACUUUAAAUUUAAAUGGAUAGAGCAUCAAUGGUAUUGGUUAGGAAGGAUGUCGAUUUCUCUCCUACUGAACUUAAUAAAUAUCACUUACUCCUCUAUAAUUUUCAUGAUAGUAAAUAACUCCCUUGACACCAAAAAUUUAAAGAAAAAGAGGAGUAAAUGAGUCAUUAGCUUUAUAAUUUAAUUUAGAAAUAUUAAAUAUAUGUUUAUUAUAAAAAUAUUUAAAAAUAACCAAAAAAAUAUAAUAAAAAAAUCAUGUCAUUAAUUUUUUAUUCACUCCAAAAAUAUAUUUUCUUAUUUCUAGUACUUAAAUUUUUUUUCAUUAAUAUGAUUUAUUUAAAUUAUGAUAAAUGUGAGUAAAAGUGUAUUUAAGAACAAGAGUACUACUGUAAAAUUAUCUAUUAGGAGGUUAUUGACUAUUAUGAAAACUAUAGGAGAUAAGUGGUAUGUAUUGAUUUUAGUAGGGAGGAAAAUUGACAAUCUCUCCUAUUGGUUACAGUCAUUGACUUUUUUAUCCCUAGAGUAGCGAGUAUUUUUCAUUUUGUUUUAACGUAUCAUGAUUGAGGUAGAUGAAAACAUUAAUGUAUUUCUCUAGACUCGGUUGUAGUAUUAAUUUUUUAUAAUUCGGAAAAAGGAAAAAAAAUUGUAGUGUACUUAUAUUUAUUUAAUGAAAUCAUGCACAUUUGAUUUGAACUACUAACUGAAAUUUAUCAAACCACAAUUAGGUAGUUGAAUAAUUCAGUCAAUGUUUGACAAAUGCACACAAGAUAACUCUAUUGCUUUACAAGUAUGAAGUCUAUUAAUUCUAUUGGCUUUAUUUAUCUAAAAAUUGUCUCAUUUUCUUUUAAUAUAAAAUGAGUAAUUUUAUAUUUACUUAGUUGUGAUAUUUAAAUAGUUUAUAUCUUAACUAAACGUUGAUAGAAUUUUAUUAUUUGGAUAAGAAAUAAUAAGACUCGGAAAAUGAUUAGCACAUGAGUCUAUUAAAUUAAUGGUGUUACGUUAGUUAGGAUACUUAUUUCGCAUUGCAACUGAAAAUACAUCACAUUAUUGAAAAAGAAAUCUUUAAUUUGUAUUUGUCCAAAAGAUAGGUAGUAUGAGGCGGCCAUAAUAAUAAAGUAUUGCAAUGAAUGAUAGGUUACUUUAUUUGAAUAUGAAAUAUUCAAAAUAUAUUGGGCCUUCUUAAUUAAAACAAAAAGAAAAGAAAAGAAAAAAAGAAGUAGAAGAAGCUUCAUAGUUAAUGAUAAAUUGUUUAAUGAGUAAAAUUCUCUUGAUUUAAAUUUUUUACUUUAAAUCACGGUUAAAUUUUUUAUUCAUUGGAUCCAUCCAAUCCAAUGAUAGAUAAAUGAGUUAGUUUUAAACUUUAAAUCUACAAAUUAAAUGAGUUUUAAACUUUAAACCUACAAAUUAAAUGAGUUUUAAACUUUAAACCUACAAAUUAAAUGAGUUUUAAACUUUAAACCUACAAAUUAAAUGAAUCUAAUAAAUAAAAAUUAAAGUAUGAUUUUUUAGGUAAAAAAUAAAAAAUAAAAAACCCUCGUAUUUAAUUUUGGUUCUGCAUUAUACGAAAAACAUAUUGGCCCAUCUUAAUUUAAAGACAUUCAAGAAACAGUUUAUUGUCCCCAAAACUGACAGCCUUGAGGAAAUUAAGGAGAUAUUUCGGACCGUAUUUGGCUGCAUCUUUGAGAAUAUUUAACCCCACAUUGGCUUGGUGUUUAACUUUUUCAUUUUAAUCUUUAAUUUCACGUACAAAUCUACUAAUCCACAUGAACAAUUUGAAUCAUACAUAAUACAUAAAACCCACAUGAACUGGACUUAUUUAAUGUUUACUUUCUCAAGUGAGAGUGAGGAGUGUGAAUUUCUUUUAUUCCAUUAUUUAUUUACAAUUUUUUGGAAAUUCCACUCCGUGGGCCCCACCUAAUUUUGGAGUGGGAAGUGGGAUUCCCACUCUUGGGGGAGGUGGAAUUAGGCUUGGCAAAAUCUAGGUCUGGUCUGGAUUUUGGUGUUGCCCAAAACCGGAUUGGAUGAGUGAAAUGCAAGAUCGGACCUGGGUUAAAACCCGAGUUUUCCGGGUGCGGGCCGGGCUCAAGCCUGACACCCCCGGGCAUAGGUUUUUUAUCUGGGUUUUUAAGCCCGAAUGUGAUAACUUUAAUUUUUUUUCCUUCAAUUUUUUUCUUUCAUUUAUCUAACAAUGCAAAUUUUAAAAAAAGAAAAUAGUCAAAUAAACUCAUUCAAUCUCAAGCUUUAAAAAAGAAAAUAAUCAAAUACAAAUAUAUAACAUACUAACAAUGUAAAUUUUACACAAAUAAUAAAUAAAAAAAUUUCAAUCUACUUUCUAAUACCUAAAUUUAUCCAAUUUCUAACCUAAACUCAUUCAAUCUAUAUAAAAAUAAAUAAAUUCAACAACACAGUAAUCAUACAAUAAAUCUAAAUAACAUCUAACAUAUCAUAAAUUCAUAAUUAUAUAUUUAUAUAUAAUAUAUUUAUAUUUAUAUAUUUUUUAAUUUAUUAAGAAACUGGGUCCAGGUUCUGAGUUUUUGGUGUUGAGCCCGGACCCGGACAUGUCCAGGUUUGAGAAUUUCAAACCCGGGUCCGAUUUUUUUGUGUAUGCGGUUCGGGUUUUGCCAGGGUCCGGUCCAGGUGGGCUUUUUUUGACACCCUUAGGUGGAACUUGGAAGUGGGAAUCCACCCCCCCUCUUCUCUUUUUAGCUUUAUAUUUAAAAUAAAAUAAAAAAAUAUUUAAUAAGAUAUUAUAUUUAAUAAAAUAAAAUAAAUAAUAUCAUAUUUAUUUAAAAAAUAUUAUUAUAUUAUUUUAUAAAUUAAAUCUAUUAAAAAUAAUAAUAAACAUAUUCAUUGUAUUAAAUUUAAUAAAAUAAUAAUAUUAUAUUUAUUUAAAUAAUAAUAUUAUAUUAUUUUAUAAAUUAAAUUUAUUAAAAAUAAUAAUAUUAAACAUAUUUAAAUAUAAUAUUAUUAUAUUUAAUUAAAAAUAAUAAUUUACAUUGAUUCUAAGUUAAAAUUACUUAAAAAUAAUAUUAUUACACUCAUAGAGAAUGAAUAAUAUUACUAUAUUCUAUCUUUAUUUGAAAAUAUAUUAUUAUUAUUAUAUUUAUUUUAAAAUAAUAUUAUUAUAUUUAUUUAAUUAAUAAUAAUAAAUAUUUUAUUCUAAGAAAAUAUUAAUUUUUGUACUAUAUUAUCAAUAAUAAUGUUUCAUUGGUGUUGCUAUUAUUAAUAAUUGUUUAUUUACAUAAUUCAAAUUAAAAUUAAUAAAAAUUUAUGAUUUACAUAAUUAAGAAUAUUAAUAAUAAUUAUUAAUUUAAAAAUAUAAUAAAAUAAAUAUUUUAUUUUUCAAAUAUAUUUUUUAUUAAUUUUGUAAUUAAAAAUUAUAAUUCUUUAAAUAAUGAUAAAAUUAUAAUUUAAAAUUAUUUACUCCUAAUCCAAGACAAUAUAAACAUAUAAAUUAAGUUCUGGUUUCAAUUUUAUAUUCUUAUUCCAGUAUAAAUAAACAACCUACUCUCACUUCCACUCCCACUCCUCAUUCUUAAUUCCAAGAUUCCCACUCCAAUCCAAAAUAUAAACGCUAUCUUAUUUUUGAACAUAGAGAGUAAGAAUCUCUUCCAUUUAUACACAGAUUAUGCCAAUCACUUUAAUCGAUUUAUUGCUAAAUUUUGAAGUUCGCAUUUGGGAAUUAAGAUGUGUUCUUCAUUUUUUUUUUGUACGUAUGUUUGGGGAAUUUACUGAACAAGUUGUUACAAAAAAACAACAGUCGAGAAAAUACAACCAAAAAAACAAAAAGCUCUCUAAAGGUUUUCACGUGAUAUAUACAAUAAUUUCGUCAAAUCGUCAUCAGUGAAAAUGUAAUAAAAUUGUCAAAUCAAUCAACUGAGAGGCCCACGUGUUCGCCCCCCACAUAUCAUAUCACCAGUCAAUAAUUCUCGGAUUUUCCUUAAAAUAAAUAAAUAAACAAAUAAUUGUAUAAUGCUUGCUUGCUACUUUUGGAUACGGUGGCGCCAGCAAGCCGUGCGGUGGGCUUUCUCCAUCCAUAACAACGCGUGGGCCGACUGUAGGGACGAGCACGGUUUUUUCCCCAUGAUAGUUACUUCCUGUAAACCCCACAUGGCCACAUCAGAUUAACUUGCAUUCUUUAAAUGCACCCCAACCCACCCAACCUCAACUUAAAAGGUAUCUUCUCAUUUUUCACUUGGUCACCCUCCAAUUCUCCAAUGUUGCCACGGUGGAGGUGCACUCAAUUUUUUUUUUUCUAAAUAUUUAAAAGAAGAUUAAUUUCCAUAAUCUCUUAAUCACACGGACAUAUAUUUCAAACUCUAAUUGGGAUCCAAUCCUCUCUUACGCGUUUUCUCUUCUAAUUCUUUAAGAUUUUUAAAGAUUUAUUGACAUGUGUCAUUAUUGAAAUUACAUUAGGAAUUUAACAAAAGUUUGAUUCACAAAUAUCGUCGUCAUCCAAUCAUUGCACUCCUUCCAAAAGUGAGGCUUUAAGGUCAAAAUUGGUCAAUUGAUUGCAGCUCCCGAGAUGCUGCUUCUAACUCAAUCGACUACACUUAAAUGGAUGAAUACAUGUCCAUUCAAAUUUUAAUUCAUUAAGUCAUCGGUUUAGAUAUCGCUACCAACUGUCUUCUUACUUCUUUGCUGAGUCCAAUAUCUUUACACGAAAUUUUGUCCCACGCUCAACAAUUUCCUUUUUUCGCUCUCCCUUAAAAAAAAAAAAAUUAUCACUUGUUGAUUCAAAUAUGAAUAUUUCUAUUAACAAAAACAACCCUAAAAAUUAAUUUUUUUUUUUUUUAGUUCUUAUUGUACAAUCCGAAAUCCAGUGAAAUUAUAAUUAAUUACACAUACUACUAACGUGGGUACUAACCUGGGAUAUUAAACUUUGUUGCUAUGUUUGAAUUUACCACGGCGUCACGAUAAAAAUACACACAAAGGAAUCUUUAUGAUUAACUAAUAUUAGUCAUUAGAUUUGCAUCUUUACCGGUCUGUUCGCUCCAUAGACUAUAGCCGUUAAAAUUUGGUUACCUUAUCCAAACUCGGAGUCUCUCAAAAGGCUUACUACUUACGAAUCGAAUUUGCUUCGGUUGACUUCAAUGGAGGCCUUUCAAAAAGCAACUUUCCCCAUCUUUUCGGCGAACCCAAAUCUCCUAUCAACUAAACCCAUAAAGCCAUUCAAAGUUUCAAUCAAACCUCCGCCGCAAGACUUUGAUUUCCGGACAGAGAUUCUGUCAGAUUCCCAAGCCACAAUUGCUAAAACUUGCCCCGAGUUGCUAAACUUGGCUGAUGACGGCACCUUGGUUCUCAUACAAAAGCGCCAAUUCGGUCCCGUGCCGGCUUGGAGGUCGGAGUUUGUUGAACCGGAGAACAUCUGGCUGAUUGGGACCACUCAUCUUUCCCAAGAUUCAGCUGCUGACGUGGAGCGAGUUGUGCGGGCUAUCAAGCCUGAUAAUGUUGUUGUGGAGCUUUGCAGAAGCAGGCGAGCUUGAUUUCCAUUUUUGUUUUUGCUAAUAUUCAUUCUUGGUUAGCUAGUAAUUAGUUCAAAAUUAUGUAUGUUUGUGUUCAUUCCACAAUUUGACUUCAAUUACUGGACAGAUCAUUUUCAGAGCUGGGAUUAUGUACACUUCCAAUGGGGGGGAGAAUGAUCAACAGUUAAGGUCAAAUAUGUUUUCCUUGACUGGCACUGGGUUUUUUGGUGCUGUUGGUCGGAGCAUAGACUUGGGUGAGGACUAAUUUCCUUUUCCAAUUUGUUUACCAAACACAUGUCAUAUGAAGAUGAAUGUGGAGGCAAGUUACAUAAUGUUUCGUGUGAAUGGCAGGGGGGCAAACAGCUCUAGCGUUACGCCUACUUUUGGCCCUCUUCUCAUCUAAAAUUUCUUCUGAUGUCAACCGGCCUUUUGGGGACGAGGUAAUGGACACUGGAAAGAAUAUACUUGCUACAAUUCAAUGCCAAAAACUUGAAUUUUGUGUCUUCAAUUUACGAAAUUGUUACAUGAUUUGCAGUUCCGUGCUGCUCGAAAAGUAGCAGAAGAAGUUGGUGCUCAAAUUGUCUUGGGGGAUCGACCAAUUGAAAUAACUGUAUGCGCUGUUUAAAUUAUGCAUUUGGCUUGUGGAUAUGGUGAUUGGACAAAUAGGUUCUUUUUGAAAAAUAUGGCAGUAAUUGCUAUAUUUAGUAUUUUUCUUUUCUGAGGUUGUAUUAUUUGCACAUGGUUAAUGUGUUAAAUAACAAGAAGCUAAUGUAUUUUAUGCUUUUUUUUCUGAUCACUCAGCUUGAAAGGGCAUGGAAUUCUCUAAAGUGGAAUGAGAAACUUAAUUUACUGAUCAACGUUAUUUGGGGGAUAACAUCGCCUUCAGACAUGUCUUUAGACAAUCUCAAGGUCUUUCACUUACUCAAAGAUGUCCUGCAUUUCUUUUGCUGUCAAUUGACCUUAUUUUCAUGUGCCUACACGACCACAAUUGUUCAAUUUUCGACAUGUGUCAAAAUUAUUUCUUUUGUCUUGGUAGAAUUCAGUGAGUAGCAUGUUAGCUGCAAUUUCUAGUACCAUCUUAUAGAGUGAUGGACCUUGAAAGCAGAAGAAAUGGAUUGAUGAAAGUAUCUACACUACAAUCCGUGUAGAUACAGGAAGCGUUGAUGAUAAGCAGUGAUGAGCCCCUGGAUCUUGAAUUAGAAAUUAGUAUUUGAAUCCUAGAUAUUUGAGAUUUACAUUUCUUUGAAGUUAUGACUAUUGUGCAAAAGUUUGAUUACAUGUAAUAUUGGUUAGUCUAAAGAUCUCUUAUAUCUGAUAUGCAGGAACCAAGUCCUGAUGAUAGUACUUUUCAGCUUUACGAGAAGCUAAGCUUUUCAUAUCCAUCCCUCUUGCUGCCUCUUAUACAUGAACGAGACACGGUAAUUGUCAUUGAGCAAGAAAAAGACAUCAACAAGCUGAAGUGUUGUUGACUUUUAACAUGGAUGAAAUUUUUUUUAAUGAUUUUGGUUCUAUGGUUUGCUAUAAUUUAAGUUAUUCUUGGAUUUUGUCACAUGAAUCAUGAUUUUGUAGGAAAAUUACAUGUAUUCUUGUUAGAUGAACUACGAAGACCCAAAUUUGGCCCUCUAAUGAUGUGACAUAUUUUGCUUUAUUCUUCAGUAUCUUGCAUGGUCUCUAAAACGGAGCAAGGCAGUGAACAACUCAAAGAAAGUGGUGGGCGUGAUUGGAAAGGGCCAUAUGAACGGGGUAAUUUAUGCAUUAGUAUCAGAUCAGGGAAACUUGAGAUUUAGGGACCUUGCGGGCAAAAGAUCAUCUGGGGAUGGCUCUAAUGGCUGGAUUGCUAGUCUUCUAAAGAGCUUGGUUAGAGAUACCGUCAUUGGCAUCCUGUUAUGGGCAUUAUAUGAACAAGUUAAAGGUGCACUAUCAUAGAAUACCUGAAUUUAAAAAUUCAGUUGGCCAAAUAUCACGUCAAUACAACAGAUUGGUCUAUGCUCAGGAAAAAAAAAUGGUAGAAGUAAAUUGUAAUCCUCAUAUUUCUUGUGUAGAACCAAUACAAUUUUUCUAGUAAUACAUUUGUAAAUCUGUUCUGAAUCCCACACUCAAUAAAUGAUUUUUAUUUUUUUUUGGGUCUGGAGACCAAGUCUGUUCGCACACAAAACCCCCCCACCCAAAAAAAAAAGCUUCGUUUUUUCGGUGCAAAAUUGGAUAGGUGAUGAUUGGGUUUAGUGAGACUAUACGUGAUGGCCUGUGUUUGAAGCCCAAUUACAGAUACCUUAUCUCUGUCUUGUUUUUGAAUGGAGCUCCUCGAAAAUCCCUAUUAAACCCCUUCAGCAUAUUUACAGUUUUGUCCUCAGUGAAAUUUACAUAAAAAUACUAUAAAGUCAAUAAAAGUAUGUUUUCUGUUUUGUUAAGAGCAGGAGUUCUGAACUCUCAGAAUCCAACCAACAAAAUAAUGAAUGAAUGACACUCUCUUACAAUCUUGAUUGAAAAAUCCGAACCAAGAUUUUUAUUUUAUUAAUACUUUCUAGAGAUGGUAAAAUUCUCCACAGGUUUGGGGUCUUAUAGAGCCCCACCCCAAAUGUGAUGAAUUUUGAAUAAUUUUUAGGGAAUGAGGAAAAAUUAAUCCUCAAAUUCUUAAUGGGGUGGGGUUUGGGUUUGUACUCCCCACCCUACCCCUACCCCAAUCCCCAUAAUAUAUAAACAUUUUUUAAUUUUUAUUUUUACCAACUAUAGAUAAGUUAUAACUAAAAGAAAACCCUACAAUAUAAUUCUUAUUUCACCUUAAAAUAUUAUCAUAUUUUCUUUUCUCUCUUAAGAUGCUACACUCUUCAAACAUUUUUCAAUUUUGAUAACAUUUCAAGAUAUUGUUUCAAACUUUUGGAGAUUUUUUUUAAAAAUAAUUUAAGUACUUUAUAAUAUAGUGAUGACUUUAUUUAAGUCUCUAAUUUUUAAUUUACUAAAAUAAUAUAUCAUACUUACGAUAAAAUAAGUAAUUGGGGAAUGAAGUCGGGAUGGAGAAAUCAUUCUCCACAUGGGGAUUUCCCAUCCUCACCCCCACUAAAUUUAUUGGGGAAUGAGGUGGGGAUUGGGGUAAGUCUUCCCACCCCCACCCCCACCCCCACCCCACCCCAUUGCUAUCCCUAAUAUUUUCUUGAGUUUACAAUAGUGAUAUAUAUACACACACACGCUCGCACAUAUAUACUUUUACUUUAAAUCAUAUUUAAAUUUCUUUCUAUGUUCUUGUAAAAGUAAAUUUUAGUAUAUCAAUAAGAUAAUUUUAUGUAGAUUAAUUUUUUUCUUUUUCCUAUUUUUCCUAAUCGCAAAUAGAAUUGUUGUAUGAUUAGUUUAUUAUCCUUGUUAAUCUGACUAUUAAAAUGUUAAAUUUUACAAACAUAACCCAGUGUAAUUAACAACCAUACAACAAAAACAUAGUUGUUCUUAGAAACUUAGAGUUGGGGUGAGAUUUGAGAAUAGCAAGAGUGGGUGGGAGGCUUUGAUUUGGUGGAGGUAUGCAUGAUGAUUUAUACUAAAAUGUUGUGAGGAUCGGGUGUGAACUGUAAAGUAUGGGUAUUUACGAAAUAAAAGUAGAUAUAUUUAGAAAUGAGAACAUUUUUUUUUAAAAAUUAUUUAAUGGGGUAGUUUUAGCAAAAGUAUUUAGAGUCGGUUUUUGAGGGGUGCCAAUAGCACCACUCAAGGUUUUAUUUAUUUAUUUAUUUGAUUUAAGAGGGCGGACCAGCAUCCGCUUAAAUUACAUUUAAAUUUAGAUUAAUUUACAACCUUUAAAUUAAUAGACAAUCAAUGGUUUGUGUGUUGGGAUUGUGAUAUUCCUUGGCUACUUGUUGAAGUUGAUAGUUUUUGUGUUGUUCAGCUGAUUAGUAAUUAUUCGAAAAUGACUCACAAGUAUUUGCGGCUUGUGAGGGUGAUUGAGGAGUUCAUGUAGAGGAAUUGGCACAUUAAGGUCAACCAUAUUUACGGAGAGGCGAAUUUUGCAGUAGAAUACUUUGCGAAUUAUGCCUAUGACCUCCUUCUUAACCUUUACAAUUUUACUAAUCCUCCUAUUGGUGUUAAUCAAUAUCUUAUUCAUGAUAUGUGCGAGACUGAUUAUUCCCGUUUAGUGCCCUCUUAGCUCUUUGUUUAAGAGCCCCUUUGUUUUUUUUUUUUUUUAAAGGGACAAUCAAUGAUUUAGAUUUAAUGAAAUUAAUAUUUAAGAUUUUAAAUACCCACAAUCCUUUUCUCACUUUCCAAUGAUUUUUUUAUUUUUCUAUCUCUCACCUCUCUUGUUUUAUCGUUUAAACAAAAUUUAUUCUCUAAAAGAACUUUUCACUGACACAAAAUAUUCAUCAUCAUAUUGCGUUAAACAUUUAUUUUCCCUUAAUUUUCCAGAAACAGUAGAUUAUCAAACUCGUGCAGUCAUGCUAAUUGCUCUAAAAAGUUGAAGACAAAUUUAAUUCCAAUGAUUCACAAAAGAAGUUAACAUAUGAAAAACCAUAACAUGGUCAACUCAAACUUUCUUGUAGUUCAUUCAAAUUCAAUAGCAUAUAAAAAUUCAAAACGCCUAAAUAACAGAGUUAUAAUCAAACACUUUACAAUAGUCACAAUGGCUCAAAAGUAGAAACUAUUAGACUACAAGCUAGUAAAAUUUUAUACUCAACCCAAUUUUGAUAUCUCAAAAUCAUCAGACCACUCAGAUAUUUAUGUUGAGAAUAGAUUGGCACACAUUGCUAAUCUUAGAGGGCUGCUGAUCUGGCCCUUUGAUGGGCCAAAUCUUUACUUAAUACAAAGGAAAUACUUCUUUAUACUUAACUUUUGGUGGGGUGGGUCGGCUUAUUUCCAUCAAGAAAGUUUUUUAAUUUUUUUUAAAUAUUUAUUAUUAAAAUAAGUCUGAGACUUGAGAGUAUUUUGGUAUUAAGGACAAUUCCAAUAUCAAAUCAAGUAUAAUUCCUUUGUAAACCCUUUGGUUAUAUUUAGAAAAUUUUAUAAUGCAGUGAUUAAAAGUACGGCAUCAAUGCAUGAUAAAAAUAAUUUUGUAAAUUACAUAAAAUACUAAUAAAUAAAAGAUAGAACAAGUAAAUUAAUACAAGAGUAGUAAAUUGAUAUUUAAGUAAAUAACAAACAAAAUAAACACGUGUAAAUAUAACAUAAAACUUGUAAAUAUUAAACUUUAAUCAAGUACAAAUAUUUUAAUUCAUUUAAUUUAAUCAAGUAAAGAAAAAUUCAAUCAUUGAUUGAAAAAAAAAAUUGUAUUGAAAAUAAGGAAUAAAUUUUAUUCAAUUGGUUUAACCAUACAUUCUAUAUUUUUCCUAGGACCUUUGUAAACCUUUUUUUUUUCAUUUUCUAUUACAAUAUUCAUUUACUACACAUGUUAAUUAAGCAAAAUUAUUUUUCUUGAUGUGGAUCAAGCCAAUGUAAAGUAAAAAGAUAUUUGUAUAUUACUAGACAUAUAUUGUAUAUCAAUAAAAUUAGAUCUAGUUUUCAGUUUCAUACAUACUUCAUGUAGUUUCAAACUUUCUUCUUAUUUGUACUUAAAGGUCAUUUAGGUUGCAGUUAAGUAGGUUUAAAAUGAUGCAAAAUCACUUUAUCUUAUAAAUAACUUUGAAAAACAUGAAAACAAUAGUUUUUCAAAACUCCAUUUUAAGAAUAAAUUUUAUCCUUAAUAAAUUUCACAUAAAUCGUCACAUGUAUUAUAUAACCCAAAACUAUCAUUAUUUUACACUCCAUUUAUGUUUUAUUUUACACUUAAUAUUCAUUUAAAAGUUUUAUAUUACAUCUAUAAGUUUUUAUUUUGUUUACCAAUAAUACACUAAUUUACCACUCCUAAGUUAGUUUACUUGUUUUACCUUCCAUUUACAAGUUUAUAUAUUAUUUAGUGAAUUUAUACUAUAUUUUACACUUAAUGUUGACUUAUAAGUUUUAUGUUAUAUUUGUAAGUUUUUGUUUUGCUUGCUAAUAAUACACAAGUUCUACCAUUUCUAUGUUAAUUUACUGAUUUUACGUUUCAUUUAUGAGUCUCACUGAAUGUGAUUUAUAAGUUUUCUAUUAUAUUUGAAAGCUUUUGUUUUAUUUACUAAUAAUACACUAAUUUACCACUUUUAUGUUAAUUUACUUAUUUUACCAUUCAUUUAUAAAUCUUAUGUUUCAUUUACAUAAUGUUUUAUGUUACACUCAAUAUUUAUUUACAAAUUUUAUAUAACAUUUAUUAGUUUUUGUCUUGUUUACUAAUACAUCAAUUUACCAUUCAUAUGUUAAUUUACUUAUUUCACAUUCCAUUUACAAGUGUUAUGUUUCAUUUACUUAAUUUAUGUUCUUUUUUUACACUUCUUGUUGAUUUACAAAUUUAUGUUAUAUUUGUAAAUUUUUAUUUUGUUUACCAUGAUACCACAAUUUGCCACUCAGAUAUUAAUUUAUUUAUGUUACAUUCCAUUUACAUCUUUUUAUUUUACACUUAAUAUUGACUUAAAAGUUUUAUGUUUUAUCUAUAAAUUUUUGUUUUGGUUACCAAUAAUACAUUAUUUUACCACUAUUUUCUUGAUUACUUGUUUUACUUUUCGUUUAUAAGUCUUAUGUUUCAUUUACACAAUUUAUGUUUUAUUUUACGUUUAACGUUGAUUUACAAGUUUCAUUUUACAUUUAUAAGUUUUUAUUUUAUUUACUAAUAAUUUGCCACUUCUAUGUUAAUUUACUUGUUUUUCCUACUAUUUACAAGUCUUAUGUUGAUUUACAAAUUUUAUUUUAAACUUACAUAUCUUAUGUUUCAUUUACACAUCUCAUGUUUGAUUUAUAGAAUGGCCCAUUUAUUUAUUGUCUUCUUAUUUUAUAAUUUGGUUUAAGAAAGAGUCGAUCAUAUUCAUAGUCAUUGAAGAGAACUAAUAAUUUAUCUAAUGGAAUAAAGAGGAAAAUAACUUGUCAAAUUAUGGUUUUGUUGUCUUACAUACAGUCAAAUAGUAUUUCAAAAGAUAAUGAUAUAGAAAAUCUCACAAUAAAAACGAAAAAAUGAUACUUUAUUUAAAAAUUCUAAAUAAGCUUUAAACCGUAUCUAAAACUCAAAUAAAUGUAUCUAUAAUCUGACAAUUGUAUCUAAAUUAGUAUUUUUUUAACACGUAUCCAAAGCGUAUUUAAUUAGGUAUUUCUUAUUUUAUGGAAUGCAGUUUUAGUAAUUUUACAAAACCACAUGCAAUUGGUACCUUGUUCCAAUAUGGAAUACUGUGGUUUUCUGAUUUGGUAUAAUACGCAUUAUUUUGAUGAGCCAAUUAAUAAUUAUGUGAUGUUCAAAUCUAUUACAAUUAAAUUUAUUUUAAAAAAAUUGUAAAAUAGAAUAUUGUGAUUUUAAUUUCACUAGUGGUGUAAGAUGCUUUUCUUUGGAGCACAAAGCCCGCGCAAUUGACCCAAAAUAUGGAGUGCUCCUAUAUGGGUAAGUGUCUUCCAUUGACCAUGGUUUUAUGGUUCUUGUACAAGAGAUUAUAGAGUGUCUCCGUUGUAUUACACUACUUGAUGUAUGUAUGACAUGUAUGUGUUUAUUUUGAAAAAUUAUCAUGUCAUUAAUAGUUAUAUUUAAUUAUUAAGUGGAUAUAAUACAACAUAAGUACUCUAUAAUCUCUCCUAUUUUGCAACAAUUGCCUUGACACAGUAGGUCGAUUGAAUAACAUAUGUAAUUUAUAAAAUAUAAUAGUUUAAGUGUUUAACUAAAUUCUAAAAGUAUUUUUUUAAACUUAAUUAAGAAGAAUGGAGAUUACACGAAGUUCCUUUUUUAUUUUAAUUUUAGAAUAAUUAUAUAUAUAAAAGUAUCAACAAUAAUGUGCUAAUAAGUACUAAAUUCUUCAUAAUUUCCCUAUUAUGGAUUGUAAUAGUAAGAUAAUGUUGUUAAAAUCUAAGUUGUUAUAAGGAUUAUUAUCCUUUCACUACACUAAGUAUUGCGAAAUAACAAAUCAGUAUACGCAUUAUUGAAAUAUAACACUUUACCGUUCUAGCUUUUUAAAAAUAAUAGUUAAUUACAUUUUCGUUACUAUCAUUAGUCCAAUGAUGAUGUCACACCGACAUUAUAUGGGCACAAUCAUAUUUUCAUCAAAUGAAACCUGAUUUUGUAUUUUUGUAUGAUCAUUUCAUCAACCAAUUUCAAUUUUAUCGAUAUGUUGGACUAGAAGUUAUUAAUUUGAAUUAUCAUUACUUUCAAUGUUAGAAAAAAAUAUAGUAAAGUUCGAAUAUACAAUAAAAGAGAAGUAGAUCUGUAGAUGGUGCUAGUAUUGUAAAUGUAGAAAAGAAUUUUCAAAGUUUUAGUUCCAUACACUUAUUAAAUUAAUUCGAGGCUCGCCUAUUUCAAAAGCUUAUAAAUAUGAAUUGCCGAAAUAUGUUUAAUUACUUCUCAAUCAAUAAAUAAUGUAAAAGAUAUAGUUAAAUAUAUUCAAGAAAUAAACUUAACUAACAUAUACUCUUCUAAACCCAUUUAAAAAAAAAAAACUAAAGAAGACUGAAUCUUAUAAGUUUAGAAUUUUUUGUGUAAAAAUUUUAACAUCAUCAAGGUAGAUAAUUGUGAAAUUACCGAGUGAAAAAUCAAAUAAAUCCAAAAAUAGAAAAUAGCGAACUAGGAAGAGUCAUUUUAAACAAAAAGAUUGCAAAAUCUUCUUUAAAAAGAACUCUUUGUAAGCACCUGUCAAUUGUGGUAAUUUGCAUUGAUUGUUCUAUUUUCUCUAGAUUUCCACAUUAAUUACUUAAAAUCUUAUGAGUGUGUACGCGAAUUGUAGAUAGCAUUAUCUAUAUCCAGCCCGCAUUUUGUUGAGAGAUGGUUUUGAAGAAAUUUAAAAAAAUACAAUAAAAAAUAACUUUAAAAAAAGUUGUAUACUAUUGUCUGUCUUUUUAUCCUUGUAAAGCAACUUUGUAACAUUUACAGCACUACCUUUCAAGCCAGCUCUGGCCGUAGCAUCAUCUUCUUCUAUAAAUUUGCUCUUUGUGGCCACAAAUUUCUCAGGGUUGUAUUGAGUAGUGAGAUUGUGCGAGAGUCAAAAUGAGUGAAACUUUUAUGGCAAAACCGUCUUUUCUUAGAUUUAAUGUCUUGGUUGUGGAUGAUGAUUCAACAUCUCUUGCUAUUGUUUCAGCUGUGCUUAAACAUUGGGAUUAUGAUGGUAUAUUUGAUAAAAAUCUCAUGCUUUUGUUUCUGUUAAUUAGAAUCAUCAUGCUUGCAAAAUCAUCUAUUUUGGUCAUUUGCAAGCACAAAAUUAUUAUUGUUAUUUUUUUUUUUCAACUCUACUUCAAUUUUAUCAAAUUUUAGUUGCCGAUGAGAAGAAGAAAGAGUACUAUUUUUGGCGCUUAGUUGUGCUCCAUAGAUUUAUCAAUAAUUUUUUGAAAAUUCCAUUUCACGUCCUGAAAAUCAUUUUUUCCCCCAUCUAAUUUUCCCUAUUGAAAUUAUUAUAUUUUGGCCUCAUACGUACUUGAGAAUCUUUGUUUGUUUCAUUUCACUAGCUUAAUUUUGAAUAUGCGUGCAUGAAAUUUUUUAGAACAUAUUUUUUUUAUUUCCAAUCGGCUCCAUAGCAGUGAUGAUUUGAUGAAUUAUAACACUCGAGAAUUUUUAAUUCUUUUCCUUUUACGACACCUAAAUCGAAAAUUCAUAAAAAAAAAAUAUUAAUUUCUUGCGAUUACCAUUCAAUCACAACUAUAGAUUCAGUUAAUUUAUUUGUGUGAUUUUCAUAUUGUAUUUCGUCAUGCCUUUUUGGUUUUUUGUUCAAAGAUUUCUCCAACGUGCUCUGGCUUCAUGCAUGUACUCUCAAUAGUGCCGAACUAACUAGGUGGAAUGCCUUUCUAAUUUUUUUUUUAAAAUUAUCAUUUUCCUCUUUUCUUUAUCUAGAUCUCAUCUUUGUUCCAUCUUGGUUUUGUUUGGUGUUAAGGUGUUGUAACUUUUGAACCACAACUGUUAUGGAUAAAAAAUUCAAAUAUAAAAUAAAAGUCGAUAAUAUAUAGUAAAUAUAAUUUUUGAAAAAUAAUUUUAAUGAAAAUAAUAAACAUAUUUUAGGUUUUUUAUCAUACAAGUGUGAGAUUUAAUUAUCUUUGCUUCCAAGUCACAGUUGCUAGUAUUUAUCAAACACGCUCACGUUGUAUCUUUUAAAUUACCCAACCUCAAUAUCAAAUAGGACCUUAGUAUUUAUGUUUUAAAAAUUUUCAUAUAAGAUUAGUGAAGGCAUUAGUUCAAAUAGAUACAUAAGGCAUUAAUUCAAGCACAAUAUUUUCUUACAAUCUCCUUUUUUUUUAACUCUUGCUUUUCAUUUUCUUCAAAUUAGUUGCUUGGUUUCUUAAUCUCAUUUUCAAGGAUCUUUACAAGUUAGUGAUUUGUUUAUUAAGCUUUUGCAUGCAUCAUGCAUGGCUUCCAGCUCUGCCCAAAAGAUUUCUCUAGUGCAACGUGCAUUCGUUUAUUUUUAUUUACCACUUUAGAGUGAAGAUCUAACUCCUGCACUUAGGGUUUUAUACUUCGUAAGUUGAUUAUAAUCUUUUUCGCGGUAUAGUUUUUAUUAGUGCAUGUUGAUUUAGUAAAACAUUUCACUAAUUAAUUUCAAAAAAGAUAAUAAAUAAAAAAUCUCCCUCAUUUCUCUAGGGUUUAUAACUAUUUAUUUAUUAGUAUACUGAUACCGUGAUACCUCAAAUCUAUUUUUUUAAUUCAAGUAAUUUUAUCACCCUCAUGAACCUAAGUGAUUUUGAAGCAACUCUAUUUGAUUGACCACUUGAGUUGAUAGAGGAUUAAAAUAUUAAUUUAUACUUUACCCAACCCUCUAUUUGUUUUCUUUUUAUAAAUAACGCAUAUAGAAAGAAUUUCAUGUUGUAUAUAUAUCAUCAUAUCAUGUCCCAAAAUCUCAUGGUUUUUCUUUUUUUUGAAUUGCAGUUGUGACUGUCAAACGCCCCGUUGAUGCUUUAGCUAUGAUUCGGAUUCAUCAAGACAUCCACCUCGUUAUCACUGAUCUCCACAUGCCAGAGAUGAAUGGGCUUGAGCUGCAAAAAGAAAUUAAUGAAGAAUUUAUUCAUUUACCUGUCAUGGGUGAGUCUCAUCUAAUAGGCUAUUAGCUAGUGUUAUAUUGCAAUUAUAUUCUGUUUAAUUAACAUACAAGUAUCAAUUAAUUGCAGUAAUGUCCUCUGAUGACCGAGAGAGUGUCAUAAUGAAGAGCCUAGCAAGUGGAGCUGUGUUUUACAUGGUGAAGCCAGUGAACCCGGAUGCUCUCAGAAAUGUGUGGCAAUAUGCUGUUACAUCAAAGAAAGGGAAAUCGAUUUUCAUUGAGGAAAAAAGUAGCCUUGCAUAUGGAUCUUCGGCUGACAAAAUAUCAUUUCAUCAUGACAUUGUUCCUGUAUCAUCCAUGAUCGAAGAAAAGGAAAGCAAAACAAAUUCUAAAAGAAAGGCUUCAAAAAGAUGCAAGGAUGAGCUAGAAGGAGAGAAUGCCGCUGCUCCGAAAAAGGCCAAGGUGGUUUGGACUAAUUCACUUCACAAUCGCUUCUUGCAAGCCAUUAGACAUAUCACUCUGGAAAGUAAGAAACUUCUACUAUUAUUAGUUUCCAUAUCCAAUUACUGAACAUGAGAUGAGAAUGUUUGUACUAAUAAUUUUUCUAUUUUCCCAUUUUGUCUCAUGAAAUUGUAAUAGAGGCUGUUCCAAAGAAAAUACUUGAGUUCAUGAAUGUUCCAGGCUUAACUAGAGAAAAUGUUGCUAGCCAUUUGCAGGUCUGUUUGUUAAACUACAAAUAGUUCCACCUUGCUAUAUAUUAGUCCUCAUUUUCUGAACCUAACGGAAGGUUUGUAUGUGUUUUCGUAGAAGUAUCGGAUCUUCUUGAAACGAGUUGCCGAGAACGGUAUUAAUGCUGCUUUAAAGAACUUCAACCAUAGAUCCAGCUUGGCAUCAGGCCGUACCUCAAUGAUGUUACAAGAAGUACAAGAUUAUGCACAAGCAAUAGAAAAGCAGCUGCAAAUGAGAACAUCACCAUUCAUACCUAGAUAUGGACGUGGCAUCUCAGAGCUCAACGGAAACACCAGCUUUGGUUCCAUUGGCUUGCAAAGCCACAACUCUCUGUCUCAUGUGGGACUGUUGGGAGUUCAAGAUAAUUUUCAUCAACCAUUUUUUGGCAACACUACAUUUCCUCUUUAUCAAGCAAACCCUGGCACCACAUUUGGCACAGGAUUAAUUGACAUGGGAACAAAUUCGUUCUCUUGCGGAGGUUUAUCCGGUGGUCUUAUGAAUGGCACAAAUUCAAAUCAAAUAUUCCGCCAAAAAUCUAAAUUAAGGCCGGAUCCCUAUGAUAAUAACACAGGAGCUUCAUCUCUCAAGGGCUUUGGCGCAUCAGGACUCGAGAAAAUGUGGACUAUCAACAAUAACCCAUAUUUAAAUUAUGCUGGGAUUCGACUAAAAAAUGAUGGGGAUCAGCUCGUUGGAGCAGGUGAAGUGGGGCUCAACGUCAAGGGGGAUGCUGGUGCUGGCAAUGAAGGUGCGACAUUUCAUCAUUUGCCUCCGGGAUACUCUUCAUCUUCCGCAGGGUUUGCUGUUGGCAAUGAACAGGAACCUACUUCAGUGCUGCCACCAUUGUCAUUAUCACAGCAACAAUACGGUCUCGGCAAAAAGGUGGAAAAUGAUUUUACUUUUGGUCUGAUGAACGAUGCUAAUGCUUCUGUCAAUGAUGACACAGCUCAACCUGAGCAAUUAGGCGAAGGUGCUGAUUUUGGUGACCUUCUCUUUGACCUAUCCGACUUUCAAUUCCUUUUUCAGGUAUGAAAGUAUAUUAGGCAUUUAAUUACUUUGUUCAAAGUGUAAUCUUCGGGGCGCAAUUAUUAAACAGUAGUGACUCAAUUUCAAUUAUAUUGGUGCUGCUUAAACAAAAAUCUCAUUGACUAGCAACAAGGCGACAGGGAGGGUGCUCUGAAUACUAACAUUGGUAGUGGCUCUGGCUCACAUCAACCUGAACUCAAUCGUCCAAUCAACCAAUCCCAGAAUCCUGUCCUUCCCAGCGCAUUCGCUGACAAUGCUUCUGGUCCUUGGAAUGAACCAACUCUUGAACAGGCAUGUCCAAUUCUUAAUUAGUUACCCCAAUUAAUAUAGAUUAAUAGAGGUAGAUGUAUAUAGAUAUAUACAUAUAUUCUAGUUAUUUAUAAUUAACUUGUUAUUAUCAAUGCAAAAAUAUUGUGCUCAGAUUCAGGACAUCCAAGAAGUAAUGAACCUGGAUUUGGGUAACAGCAAUGCGAAACCAUUGAAUGACUAUUAUCCAAGAUUAGAUCAAAAUCCUAAUAAUCAGGCAAGUUUUAGUUUGUUUCUUACUCUAUAUCUUUUAGUAAAAUCAGGUAGCAUCCCACAUUAACCCUACUUCUUUGUGUGAACCUGUAGCUACAACCCAGUGAAAACAACGCCAACUCUGACCUAAAUGACCUGCAUCCGGGGAAAAUUCUCCUACACAAUAUCAGGCAUGUCUAUCAGAUGACUUCAUUCUAAAUUUAAAAAAAUUUCAUGUUCACGGAAAUUAAAUUUUAAUUUUUGCUGACAAUUUUGGUUCUAAAUUCUGAUUGUCAUUGCAGGAUUGGGAUGACGAGUUCAUAGACUCCCUGUUCCGUGAUCAGCCGUAAUGAGUGAGAGACGUUGAUUGGGGCUUCGGCUUGCAGUUGUUAUAAUUUAAUUUCUUUAGCUUUUAGUUUUUUAAAUUUUAAUCAUGAAGUUUGCCAUCUGUUUGCAGCCCGUUGGGCAUGCUAUGACUGUACCUGAUGGCCUGUAUUGGAGGUCUAAAUCCAGAUCUUUAAAUCUGUAGUAAGACUGUUUAUUUCCUGUUUAAUAGAGCAAUAAUAAAUUAAGGUGGCUUUUUUUUUUUCUCUAAAAUUUAAAUAGACUUGAAUUAAUAUGAAUUCUGAAUAGAGUUAAGUGUCUGAAUUUGAAUAAUAUGAUUUUUUUUUUGAAUUUUUAAAGAUAAAUAAAGUUAUUUUUUUAACUAAAAAAAAUUGAAAACUAGCAUUUUUACAUUCGUACCCUUACAAGUUAUAAAUGUUAAAUAAAUAUUAAACAUCUCACAUAACAUAUAUAAAAUAAUAAAUGUCAUAACAUAAAGCAUAUUCAUUUGAAUAUAAUCAUUUAAUAUCUAUAUUAGUAUAUGUUAAUCAAUUUUAUUAGAGUUUAUGAUGUUUUUAUAUGGAAAAUAGUCAUAAAAAAUUAUGAAGAUGAAUAAUGCUAAUUUGAAGAAAAUAAAAAAAUAAUAGUCUACCACUAUAUAUUAUCCCAAGUUAUACAGAGAUAGUAAUAAUGCUAGUCAUUUAAUUUUAUUUAGGUAAGGAUGAAAAUUAAUUAAUUAGAUAAGGAUAUUUUGGAGAAUUUUUGUUGGGGUCAUAAUUUAAUUUUCUUAAAAAAUUUUGUUUUUUAAAUAAUUUUAGAUUUAACAUAUUCUUCAAAGUGAUUUUGAUAAUGAUAAUAUGAGACAAAUAAAAUUUUUAGUUAAAAUUUAAAAAAGUUUUCUAAAAAUUUUAGUUGCCCCACUCGUCUCAUUGUUAAGGUAAAUAAAUCUACUGAGAUUCAGGCAGAAAUCUUAUUCAUUUGAGGUUUCUUCUUUAUAAUGAGGUGCGCAUACCAAAUACAGCAAUAUGAAAGAUAUCUAUUAUGUUCUUCCUUCAUAUCAUCUUCCACCUACCCUUGCCAGAUCUUCCUUCUUAUUUAUAUAGUAACAAAUUUGUGUAGAUUGCUUAUAAAAAAAAAAAAAAAAAAUUGUGUAGAUUGACCUUCCAAAAGAUGUUAUCUUUAACAUCUAAAACCUAGAAGCGUGAACAGAGAACAAAAAUUCCCACCAUAAUUAAAAAUUAAAAGAAAACAUACAAAAUAAAAUAAAAAUAAAUGUACCACCACAAAUCUAAAUCUAAGUUGAGUAAAAUUACUAAAAAAUCUAAAUCUAAAUUGAAUACUCAUCAAAUAAUGGUCGAACAUUUGUUCUCAUUAGCUACUAUGAUAUCAUUUGUAAUAACUCACUCCCACACAACUAAAUCUUUUGAGGAUAGACAACCUUGUGCACUAGGCGUUGAGAGUCAUAGGCCCCCACGCGUUAAUUAUUUGGUAAUUAUAUUCAAAACAUUGGGCUUACUAGACGAUACUGAGAAGUAGAUUUGAUUAUGGUAUCAUUUCUAAUGAUUCAUUUUUAUCAACAUAUAACAGAGCAAUAAUAUACUUACAAAUUUUUGUAUAAAUUAUUUUUUGUACACACUAAUGUAAGAUAAUAUGAUUAGUUGAAUUCAAACACUAAAUGGCCCACAUGAUUUAUCUUUAUUAUUUUAUUUUUCACUCAAGUAUAAUACCACAUCAAUUUUAUAAUUUAUACAAAAAUAAUUUAUUCAAAAAUUUGUAAGUAUAGUUUUAAUCGUAAUAAUAUAUUUUCUUAUUUAGAGGCUUGCACUCCAAAGUGCAAAAAUACUUACAGAACUUUUGCGCUAUAUAGAGCCCAUUAACCAUUUUUCACUAGGCAAUACAGGAUGUUGACACCCAUUGGCUGUUAUAUAAUUGGUAAAAAAAAACUAAGAUGAACUAGAGAUUCAUGGCUCAUAAAAUUAAGCUGAAAGCAAGAUCCAUAUUAUAAAACUAGAUGCAUAACAAGCUCAAAGUUUCCCACUUGAGGUAGGAUACAUGUCCGCUGUCAAGUUAGCUAUCAAGCUCAAACAUAAACUGUAAUUACAGACCAAACAAACUAGACAAACAGCAAGGCAAAGGUAAAAGCCAGUUCCAAAUCAAACCGUUAUUUAUUAAUUACACCUACAUAUAAGAAAUAAAUCCAGUCAGCGCCUAUAAUGUAUAUAGAAUAAGCCUCUUCACGACCGGAUUUAAAUCCUUCCUGGAUGCCAUUCUCUCAGUUUGGGUUUUCAUGGAAUAGGGAGUUUAUGAACUCGUCAUCCCACCCCUGCAAUAAAAUUUAAUAAAUUAAAACCCAAAUUAUCAAGGCAAUGUAAUUUAAUUAAAAUGACGACAUCGUGAAAUUUUUUAUAUGGAGCCACUGGAUAGACAUGCCUGAUCUCCUGAAGGAUAAUUUUCUUGCGGAUACAGGCCAUUUAGCUUAGACUUAUUGAUACUGUCUUGGCUGCCUCGCUGCUACACGCCACAUAAACGAUCAGGAUUAAUUUGAGAUGCUGUCUGAGUUUGUUAAAAGCAAUAUAAUAAUAGAAAAGAGGAAACUAAUCUUGCCUGAUUGGCGUUUUGAUCAAAGCUUGGAUAGUAGCCAUUCAAGGUAUCCACAUUGCUGCUUAAUUCUGGGUCCAAAACUUUUUCAAUCUCCCGUAGCUGUGUAUACAACAAUUUUGCAUUGAUGAGAACAAGAGAAUAUUAAAUUACUAGGAUCAUCCUAACACAGAACAAAUUAAGUGUGAAAUUAGGGGUAAUUAAUUAAGAAUUGGACGUGCCUGUUCAAGAGUUGGCUCAAACCAAGGACUAAGAGAAUGAUGCCCCGCAGCAAAUGCCUCAUAAAUACCAGGAUUCUGGGAUUGAUUGAUAGGAAGAUUGAGCCCAGCUUGAUGUGAGCCAGAGCCACUACCAAGGUUAGGAUUCACAGCACAUUCCCCACCUUCUUGCUAGUCAAUGAGAUUUUUGUCAAAGCACAAAAUUAAAUGAGUCAUUAUUGCUUGACAAGUGUGCCCAAGAAAAUUACACUUAAUUAAUAGAGUAAAUAUUUAGCAUUCCAAAUAAUAAGUCUUUAAUACCUGGAAAAAGAGUUGAUGGUUGGAUGGGACAAUGUGAAAGUCAAAUAAUGAGUCUUCAAUACCUUCGCCAAAUCGUUCAGCUUGAGCUUUGUUACCAUUUACAGAAGCAUUAUUGAUCGGAGCAAAAUUAGUGAAAUCAUUUUGUGCAUUGUUUCCGGGACCAUAUUGUUGUUGUGAUGACAAUGGCGACAGCAUGGAAGUAUUUUCCUGUUCAUUAGCACCGGCAAAUGCUGGAGGGAUUUGGUAAGUUGCAUUAUCAAACCGGGCAGAAGAAGAAGAUGCUCCUGGCGUCAAAUGACCAAAAGCCGCAUUCGCCAUAAUUCCAGAAGUCCCACUGAUCAAGCCAUAGCCACCAUUCAGACCAUUGCCAUUGAUGAGGCUCGUUUGACCUGCUGGAAUGAGCUCCCCAUCAUCAUCAUUUAGUCGAAUCCCCGCAUUGUUUGCAUAUGUGUUAUCAUUAGCAUAGGGAUUCGGCCUUGAUUGUAACUUUUGACUGUCCAUUUGUUUCAUAAGACCAGCAGCCAGACCUCCACAUGACAACGGACUUGCUUCCAUGUCACUUGACCCCGAUGACCCACAAGUGAAGAGCGGAUUUCUAGUGUUUCCAUAGAGUGAUUGAUGAAAAUUUGCUUGAGUGCCCAACAAUCCAGGCUGAGGUACAGAGCUGCUGCUUGAAGCUUCAGAGCUUGGGAAGCCAAUGGAACCAAGUCUGGUACCAUUGAGAGCUGAGACACCACUUCCGUAUCCAGGUAGAGAUGGUGAGGUCUCCAUUUGCUGCAGCUUGUCUCUGAUUUGUGAAAACUCACGUGCUUCUUGUAACAACAUAGAUAAAUGGAAGGAUGUCAAACUGGAUUUGAGGGCGUGGUACUUUUCUAUUGCGUCGGGACUUUGUUUCUCAAGGUCCUCAGCACGUUUCAAGAAGAUCCGAAAUUUCUACAAGAAGACAUACAAAUCUCGUUAGGUUCAAAGAACGAAGAGAGGUUCAUAAACAUGUAAAAGAUCAUAGGAAAAAAUCAUGCAUGAUUAGUUAUUGGGCUAAAAAUAUAAAUUCGGAAAAAUCUUCUAUUCUUAAGCUAGUUUUUAGUUGAGUUGCAAAAAAAUAAAAUAAAAUAAAAUAAAACCUAAUUUUUCUUAGGUCUCAACACCCGUACACGCAGACACACAAGCAUAAGCCGCCACCAGCCCUCCAUUACCCACAAAUCCAAUUCCAAAAGACCAACAUCACCACCACCAGUCACCACCACCAAGCCACCACUAUCCACCGCAAAAUCAAACCAGCAAAUCUCACCAUCACUUCCACUGUACCAAGCCGUGAGCCUAUGUUUUGAUUGCGCCCACCAUUACCCACAACUCCAAUUCCAAAAGACCAACAUCAUCGGCACCAGUCACCGCCACCAAGCCGCCACUAUCCACCGCAAAAUCAGACCAGCAGAUCUCACCAUCCCUUCCACUGUACCAAGCCGUGAGCCUUUGUUUUGAUUGCGCCAGCCGCCACCAAGCACAACAAUCCGUGGUCGCGCCAGGCUGCCAAGUCCGCCGCCUCUCUACUGCCGAAGUGAUGUAGUAAUAUUGGCAAAAGCAAUGGGAAGUUGAAGAAUUGUGAUUUUUAUUAUUCUUUUAAUUUGUUGAAAUGAUUGUUCAAUUUCGCGUGUUCAAAUUGAAGUUUGGAACUCAGAUAUGAAGUUCCUGUGAUUGUAAUCCAAUCUGUAGCCUAUGUACUGAUUAAUUCUAACUUCAGUCAUCAAAUCGAGGAUCUGAUUAAUAUAUAUAUAUAUAUAUAUAUACGGCCUUUGAUUAAAAACAAUACCACCCGAACCUGAUAUGACCCGUAGUUUUUUGGGUCACAGAUUCGGGUUGAAUUUAGAUUACUUGUUUUUCAAUCCCACCAAUCUGAAAUCUAAUCGGAUCGACCCGAAUCUGAUUUCGUCCCUCCCUACUCAUAUGCUUGUAAAAAAACAAAUAGUAAGGUGAAAUUUAAAAUUAAAACUAACUACAAACCUGUAAAUGACUAGCCACAUUUUGCGUUGUUAAUUCUGGAACAUCCAUGAGUUUCAGAAUUUUCUUUGGAGUAACCCCUAAGAGAAUUUCAUUUAACCCAAAAAAAAAAAAAAAUUAAUAUUAUAGUCAGCAAUUGAACGAAAAUAAUGAUUUAAUUAGAUAGAAACUUACUCUCGUAACUAAUUUGUCUAUAUGCUUGCACGAACAGUUUGUGAAGUGGAUAAGUCCAAACCAUCCGGGUUGGAGCUGCAGCAUUCUGUUUUGUUUGCUUGCCUUUGCCCUUUUCUGAAGGCUUCCUUCUAGAAUCCCUUUCGUUUUUGUUUCUAUCGUUCCCAGGCGACGUGGGAACAGUGUCAUCAAAAGAGAAUUUGUCAGCUGAGAAACCAGCUCUCUCAAACAUUCCCUCUGCCAUAUCCACCGGUAAAUUAGGCAUAUUCAAUAGCUCAUCUUCAUCAACGAACUCUUGCCCCAUGCAAGUGCUACUCGACGUACCCUCACUCUCUCUCUGAACCGGACCCGGUUCAGACCCAGAACCCAUUGCAGCAGCAGCCUGUGCCGCAGCCGCGCGUAUGUCGCUCGCCGACGUCGAAGCCGGUACUGGGUACGAAAUAAUCAUAUUAGGAAAGUUCAAUGGAGUGUAGGGGCCUAUCAAAGCCAGCGCCGCCACGUCAUAAGCCGCUGCCGCC